rnacentral:tRNA from 1 species
UCUCUGAUGACUCAGUGGUAAAGAAUCCGCCUGCAGUGCGGGAGACCCAGGUUCGAUCCCUGGGUUGGGAC